UACGUAGGGUCCGAGCGUUGUCCGGAAUUAUUGGGCGUAAAGGGCUCGUAGGCGGUCUGUUGCGUCGGGAGUGAAAACUUACAGCUUAACUGUGAGCGUGCUUCCGAUACGGGCAGACUUGAGGUAUUCAGGGGAGAACGGAAUUCCUGGUGUAGCGGUGAAAUGCGCAGAUAUCAGGAGGAACACCGGUGGCGAAGGCGGCAUCCUGGACCGACACUGACGCUGAGGAGCGAAAGCCAGGGGAGCGAACGGG
rnacentral:rRNA from 1 species